rnacentral:rRNA from 1 species
UUUAAUUGAAGAGUUUGAUCAUGGCUCAGAUUGAACGCUGGCGGCAGGCCUAACACAUGCAAGUCGAGCGGCAGCGGAAGGAAGCUUGCUUCCUUGCCGGCGAGCGGCGGACGGGUGAGUAAUGUCUGGGGAUCUGCCCGAUGGAGGGGGAUAACUACUGGAAACGGUAGCUAAUACCGC